rfam:Mycobacterium vanbaalenii PYR-1, complete genome.
AGCGGCGUGCAAGUGGGCCGAGGGUCGACUCCGACGCCGCAGGGGUCCCAGCCCGGCCCCGGAAAGCUGUGA